ensembl:ncRNA H08J11.3 ncRNA
AGUUAGGCUCACACACGUGAGACUUUGGAAGAAGCUUGUAAGGUGUAGGGACGAAAGGGUGUGUGUAUAUAGAGUAAACAGGAGGAGAGAUAGGCUCGCCUUGCCUCGAUGUGUAUUUGACAAUAAUUUUUGGA